CCUACGGUAGGCAGCAGUGAGGAAUAUUGGUCAAUGGCCGGAAGGCUGAACCAGCCAUGCCGCGUGAAGGUCAGUGCCCUAUGGGCGUUAAACUUCUUUUGUGCGGGAGCAAUAAUGGUCACGUGUGGCCAGACGAGAGUACCGUACGAAUAAGCAUCGGCUAACUCCGUGCCAGCAGCCGCGGUCAUACGGGGGAUGUAAGCGUUAUCCUGAUUUAUUGGGUUUAAAGGGUGCGUAGGCUGUGAGGUAAGUCAGCGGUGAAAUGCCCCCGCUCAACGGGAUGAAGUGCCAUUGAUACUGCCUUGCUGGAAUGCGGAUGCCGUGGGAGGAAUGUGUGGUGUAGCGGUGAAAUGCAUAGAUAUCACACAGAACACCGAUUGCGAAGGCAUCUCACGAAUCCGCGAUUUACGCUGAUGCACGAAAGCGUGGGUAUCAAACAGGAUUAGAUACCCCGGUAGUC
rnacentral:rRNA from 1 species